GCCCAAAAAAAAACCAAACAAAUAACUGUACUCACACCUACAACAUUAGAAGCUUGCUUCUAUGACGUUAGCGGCGGACGGGUGAGUAACACGUGGGCAACCUGCCUGUAAGACUGGGAUAACUUCGGGAAACCGAAGCUAAUACCGGAUAGGAUCUUCUCCUUCAUGGGAGAUGAUUGAAAGAUGGUUUCGGCUAUCACUUACAGAUGGGCCCGCGGUGCAUUAGCUAGUUGGUGAGGUAACGGCUCACCAAGGCAACGAUGCAUAGCCGACCUGAGAGGGUGAUCGGCCACACUGGGACUGAGACACGGCCCAGACUCCUACGGGAGGCAGCAGUAGGGAAUCUUCCGCAAUGGACGAAAGUCUGACGGAGCAACGCCGCGUGAGUGAUGAAGGCUUUCGGGUCGUAAAACUCUGUUGUUAGGGAAGAACAAGUACGAGAGUAACUGCUCGUACCUUGACGGUACCUAACCAGAAAGCCACGGCUAACUACGUGCCACCAGCCGCGGUAAUACGUAGGUGGCAAGCGUUAUCCGGAAUUAUUGGGCGUAAAGCGCGCGCAGGCGGUUUCUUAAGUCUGAUGUGAAAGCCCACGGCUCAACCGUGGAGGGUCAUUGGAAAAUGUGGAACUUGAGUGCAGAAGAGAAAAGCGGAAUUCCACGUGUAGCGGUGAAAUGCGUAGAGAUGUGGUGGAAGACCAGAGGCGAAGGCGGCUUCUUUGUUCUGCUGCUGAUGCUGAUGAGC
rnacentral:rRNA from 1 species